GCGAAGAACCUUACCAGGUCUUGACAUCUUGCGCCAACCCUAGAGAUAGGGCGUUUCCUUCGGGAACGCAAUGACAGGUGGUGCAUGGUCGUCGUCAGCUCGUGUCGUGAGAUGUUGGGUUAAGUCCCGCAACGAGCGCAACCCUUGUUACUAGUUGCCAGCAUUAAGUUGGGCACUCUAGUGAGACUGCCGGUGACAAACCGGAGGAAGGUGGGGACGACGUCAGAUCAUCAUGCCCCUUAUGACCUGGGCUACACACGUGCUACAAUGGACGGUACAACGA
rnacentral:rRNA from 1 species